CGUAGGGGCGUAGCGUUGUCCGGAAUCAUUGGGCGUAAAGAGCGUGUAGGCGGCCCGGUAAGUCCGCUGUGAAAGUCGGGGGCUCAACCCUCGAAUGCCGGUGGAUACUGUCGGGCUAGAGUGCGGAAGAGGCGAGUGGAAUUCCUGGUGUAGCGGUGAAAUGCGCAGAUAUCAGGAGGAACACCAAUUGCGAAGGCAGCUCGCUGGGGACGUAACUGACGCUGAGACGCGAAAGCGUGGGGGAGCAAACAGGAUU
rnacentral:rRNA from 1 species